rnacentral:rRNA from 1 species
GGGUUGUGAGGUUAAGCGACUAAGCGUACACGGUGGAUGCCCUGGCAGUCAGAGGCGAUGAAGGACGUGCUAAUCUGCGAAAAGCGUCGGUAAGGUGAUAUGAACCGUUAUAACCGGCGAUGUCCGAAUGGGGAAACCCAGUGUGUUUCGACACACUAUCAUUAACUGAAUCCAUAGGUUAAUGAGGCGAACCGGGGGAACUGAAACAUCUAAGUACCCCGAGGAAAAGAAAUCAACCGAGAUUCCCCCAGUAGCGGCGAGCGAACGGGGAGGAGCCCAGAGCCUGAAUCAGUGUGUGUGUUAGUGGAAGCGUCUGGAAAGGCGCGCGAUACAGGGUGACAGCCCCGUACACAAAAAUGCACAUGCUGUGAGCUCGAUGAGUAGGGCGGGACACGUGGUAUCCUGUCUGAAUAUGGGGGGACCAUCCUCCAAGGCUAAAUACUCCUGACUGACCGAUAGUGAACCAGUACCGUGAGGGAAAGGCGAAAAGAACCCCGGCGAGGGGAGUGAAAAAGAACCUGAAACCGUGUACGUACAAGCAGUGGGAGCCUCUUUAUGGGGUGACUGCGUACCUUUUGUAUAAUGGGUCAGCGACUUAUAUUCUGUAGCAAGGUUAACCGAAUAGGGGAGCCGGAGGGAAACCGAGUCUUAACUGGGCGUUAAGUUGCAGGGUAUAGACCCGAAACCCGGUGAUCUAGCCAUGGGCAGGUUGAAGGUUGGGUAACACUAACUGGAGGACCGAACCGACUAAUGUUGAAAAAUUAGCGGAUGACUUGUGGCUGGGGGUGAAAGGCCAAUCAAACCGGGAGAUAGCUGGUUCUCCCCGAAAGCUAUUUAGGUAGCGCCUCGUGAAUUCAUCUCCGGGGGUAGAGCACUGUUUCGGCAAGGGGGUCAUCCCGACUUACCAACCCGAUGCAAACUGCGAAUACCGGAGAAUGUUAUCACGGGAGACACACGGCGGGUGCUAACGUCCGUCGUGAAGAGGGAAACAACCCAGACCGCCAGCUAAGGUCCCAAAGUCAUGGUUAAGUGGGAAACGAUGUGGGAAGGCCCAGACAGCCAGGAUGUUGGCUUAGAAGCAGCCAUCAUUUAAAGAAAGCGUAAUAGCUCACUGGUCGAGUCGGCCUGCGCGGAAGAUGUAACGGGGCUAAACCAUGCACCGAAGCUGCGGCAGCGACGCUGAUGCGUUGUUGGGUAGGGGAGCGUUCUGUAAGCCUGUGAAGGUGUGCUGUGAGGCAUGCUGGAGAUAUCAGAAGUGCGAAUGCUGACAUAAGUAACGAUAAAGCGGGUGAAAAGCCCGCUCGCCGGAAGACCAAGGGUUCCUGUCCAACGUUAAUCGGGGCAGGGUGAGUCGACCCCUAAGGCGAGGCCGAAAGGCGUAGUCGAUGGGAAACAGGUUAAUAUUCCUGUACUUGGUGUUACUGCGAAGGGGGGACGGAGAAGGCUAUGUUGGCCGGGCGACGGUUGUCCCGGUUUAAGCGUGUAGGCUGGUUUUCCAGGCAAAUCCGGAGAAUCAAGGCUGAGGCGUGAUGACGAGGCACUACGGUGCUGAAGCAACAAAUGCCCUGCUUCCAGGAAAAGCCUCUAAGCAUCAGGUAACAUCAAAUCGUACCCCAAACCGACACAGGUGGUCAGGUAGAGAAUACCAAGGCGCUUGAGAGAACUCGGGUGAAGGAACUAGGCAAAAUGGUGCCGUAACUUCGGGAGAAGGCACGCUGAUAUGUAGGUGAAGCGACUUGCUCGUGGAGCUGAAAUCAGUCGAAGAUACCAGCUGGCUGCAACUGUUUAUUAAAAACACAGCACUGUGCAAACACGAAAGUGGACGUAUACGGUGUGACGCCUGCCCGGUGCCGGAAGGUUAAUUGAUGGGGUCAGCGCAAGCGAAGCUCUUGAUCGAAGCCCCGGUAAACGGCGGCCGUAACUAUAACGGUCCUAAGGUAGCGAAAUUCCUUGUCGGGUAAGUUCCGACCUGCACGAAUGGCGUAAUGAUGGCCAGGCUGUCUCCACCCGAGACUCAGUGAAAUUGAACUCGCUGUGAAGAUGCAGUGUACCCGCGGCAAGACGGAAAGACCCCGUGAACCUUUACUAUAGCUUGACACUGAACACUGGUCCUUGAUGUGUAGGAUAGGUGGGAGGCUUUGAAGUGUGGACGCCAGUCUGCAUGGAGCCGUCCUUGAAAUACCACCCUUUAAUGGCUGGUGUUCUAACGUUGGCCCCUUAUCGGGGUUGCGGACAGUGUCUGGUGGGUAGUUUGACUGGGGCGGUCUCCUCCUAAAGAGUAACGGAGGAGCACGAAGGUUGGCUAAUCCUGGUCGGACAUCAGGAGGUUAGUGCAAUGGCAUAAGCCAGCUUGACUGCGAGCGUGACGGCGCGAGCAGGUGCGAAAGCAGGUCAUAGUGAUCCGGUGGUUCUGAAUGGAAGGGCCAUCGCUCAACGGAUAAAAGGUACUCCGGGGAUAACAGGCUGAUACCGCCCAAGAGUUCAUAUCGACGGCGGUGUUUGGCACCUCGAUGUCGGCUCAUCACAUCCUGGGGCUGAAGUAGGUCCCAAGGGUAUGGCUGUUCGCCAUUUAAAGUGGUACGCGAGCUGGGUUUAGAACGUCGUGAGACAGUUCGGUCCCUAUCUGCCGUGGGCGCUGGAGAACUGAGGGGGGCUGCUCCUAGUACGAGAGGACCGGAGUGGACGCAUCACUGGUGUUCGGGUUGUCAUGCCAAUGGCACUGCCCGGUAGCUAAAUGCGGAAGAGAUAAGUGCUGAAAGCAUCUAAGCACGAAACUUGCCCCGAGAUGAGUUCUCCCUGAGACUUAGAGUCUCCUGAAGGAACGUUGAAGACGACGACGUUGAUAGGCCGGGUGUGUAAGCGCAGCGAUGCGUUGAGCUAACCGGUACUAAUGAACCGUGAGGCUUAACCUUACAACGCCGAAGGUGUUU